ensembl:lncRNA
GCUCCACUCUGGUUCUCUGUGGUGUCUGCUUCAUGAAUCUGGUUGUCAAACCACAUGUGAGCGACGGUCAUUCGGUUCUGGGUCAAAGUUCCAGGCUUGUCAGAGCAGAUGGUGGAGGUCGAGCCAAGAGUCUCUACGGCUUCGAGAUUCUUCACUAGGCAGUUCUUCUUUGCCAUACGUUUGGCGGUCAGAGUUAGACACACCUACAUGAAGAUACCAGUUAAGUAAGAAUUCUUGGCUCAAGCGAAGUGUACUUUGGCUCUAGUAGUGUACAUUGAACUCUGACUUACAGUUACAGUGGCAAGGAGACCUUCAGGUACAUUAGCGACAAUGAUACCAAUAAGGAAGAUGACAGCUUCCAACCACCCAUAUCCAAGAAUCAGGGAAAGAAUGAAGAAGGAGACACCCAGGAAGACAGCUACACCAGUGAUGAUGUGGAUGAAGUGCUCGAUCUCUUUAGCAAUUGGUGUUUUUCCACCUUCCAGACUGGAGGCAAGAGUGGCGAUACGACCCAUGACAGUACGGUCACCGGUGUUGAUGACAAUCCCUCUGGCGGUACCUAUAGAAGAAAAAAAAUUCAAUUACAAAAUUCAGACUUUUUUAUACAACAAACCUAAUCCGUUUUAACUCUGUACCUUCAACACAGUUAGUGGAGAAGAAGGCAAUGUUUCUGGUUUCCAGGGGAUUUUCAUUGGAGAAGUCAGGAGAACGAGUCUGGGGCUCUGAUUCACCAGUGAGGGAGGAGUUGUCCACCUGGAAAGGAAGAAAGGAAGAAUACCAUGAAUAUCCUUGGAUAUUAGUCCAGGAUCGCUGGUCUUACCUUGCAUCCAUGUGCAGAGAUAACACGAAGAUCAGCUGGGAUUCUGUCUCCACCUUUGACCUCCACAAGGUCACCAGCGACAACCUCCUCCGCAUUGAUACUCUUUUUCUCUCCAUCACGCACAACCAGGGCUUGCUACAAACCCAGAAUGUAUUAGAAUGAAGUUUUUGUGUGAGAGAUACAGUGUUUUAUCAGAAUAUAGUUUUAAUUUCAUUACCUGAGGUACAAGGUUCUUAAAAGAUUCCAUGAUUUUAGAGCUCUUGGCUUCUUGGUAGUAUGAGAAGCAUCCUGUUAUUAUGACAACAGCAGCAAGCACAAUUCCCAGGUAAAGCUGGAAAAUAAAAACAGGUUCACAGUGGGACUAAUUAUGCUU